CAUAUUUAUUUUAUAUUUACAGGUUUUGGAUAUUGUUGUUCCGUUUUUUCAUUCGAUUUAUAGGCUUUGAUUUUGUGGUCGCAACAUUUUUUCAUUAGAUUUAUAGGCUUGAUCUUUAUCAGAGAAAACUCUUGGCAUACCCCCUUUCAUGAACCUGGGAUCCCAAUUUAGUUCAUGAUCAUAUAAAGAAAAUCACUACUUACCAGUUACCAGGAGAAACAUCAUGUCCUGAAACUCAAAGAUGUUGAUGAAAAUCUUGGAUUCACCAUAUCCUAACACAAAAAGAUUAGAUCAUUGGUUUAUUCUAACUAAACACAUAUGAGG